GAUAACUGGCUUGUGGCCGCCAAGCGUUCAUAGCGACGUGGCUUUUUGAUCCUUCGAUGUUGGCUCUUCCUAUUUGUUACGCUGCGUACGGGUUUGCUGGCCCCGCGAAGGUAGGGACCGUUGCGAUGCAAAGCCGUGCGGGU
rnacentral:ncRNA from 1 species